UAAGGAAUAUUGGACAAUGGACGCAAGUCUGAUCCAGCCAUGCCGCGUGAAGGAUGAAUGCCCUCUGGGUUGUAAACUUCUUUUAUAGGGGAAGAAAGAUACUUUUUUUAAGGUAGUUGACGGUACCCUAUGAAUAAGCACCGGCUAACUCCGUGCCAGCAGCCGCGGUAAUACGGAGGGUGCAAGCGUUAUCCGGAUUUACUGGGUUCAAAGGGUGCGUAGGUGGGCUUAUAAGUCAGUGGUGAAAUCUCCGAGCUUAACUUGGAAACUGCCGUUNAUACUAUAGGUCUUGAAUUAUCUGGAGGUAAGCGGAAUAUGUCAUGUAGCGGUGAAAUGCUUAGAUAUGACAUAGAACACCAAUUGCGAAGGCAGCUUACUACAUAUAAAUUGACGCUGAGGCACGAAAGCGUGGGGAUCAAAC
rnacentral:rRNA from 1 species